GGUAUGACCUUAUCACUUCUUUGAAUUGGAAAAUUGACAACUUCACAACACUAACAACAGUUCAUCUUCCUUCAAAUUUAUCACAACCCCAAAUCUCCUCAAAAUUCCGCCGGUUUUCCUCAAUCAUCAGACCAAAUUUCAAGAUCUGAGGUGCUUACUUGGAUUUAUAAUUCCAUCUGGGAGAGACACUAGCAGAACCAGUGAAAAUGCAAACACAAAGUUUGAUAAUUGAUUAAGUCUGAAUGAAAGCCACUCCAUCGCUGAUACAUUGUGAAACCAUGGUCUUGAAAAUCCGUCCACUAAAAUAAGGUUUGCAUUGAUGAAACGAUCCUUCUGAUCGAAGGCACGUAUUGUUGCUGCCCCUGAAAGUGAUUCUCCAAAAUGAUGAAGGAUUGGAGCCUUUUGUAUUUCAGAUAAUCGUGCUAGCUCCCUUGCAGUUGAUUGCUGUUACUGGAAUGAAGAUGAGAAAGACUUCCCAUGCGACCUGUGACAUGACUGCGACGGUGCCGAUAAGCUGGAUCAUUGAGAAUGCUGCCCAACCUAAUCUUUGUGCCAUUUCCAAGUCCAAUACACUUUGGUCAGAUGAUGCCUGCACAUGGAAGACUUCUGAGGUGGCUUUCAUCCGAGCAUCUUUGGCAUUCAUGAUCAUGGAUUGGUAUUUUUUCUGCGUUCUUGUUAGAGGUAUAUUGCAAGACAUAACUACUAAAGUAGCAGCUAAUCCUGCAAAUGCUCCCAAACCUAGAUUUGUAUGCAGAACAAAGAUUGCUAACGAUAUUUGUACUGGUAACAUCCAAACGGUAUUUACAUACCAUACAAAAUCUGAGAUUCUUUGAACAUCUACACUCAUGUAGUUCAUUAUCUCUCCACUGGUGUGACUCUGCCUCGCUUGACAUGACAAGACUAAGCCCUUUCUAUAUAUCUGAGAUAUCAAAGCAGCUCUGAGGCGGAGCCCUAGUUGGCGAGCCCCAAAGAUCCAUUGCCUCUGUGCUAUUGUCUCCACCAUUUUGGCCCCUAGAAAUCCAAGAGCAAGGAGGUAGCCUGUUUUUAGGCUGCGGUGUUGCUUGUCGCUGAGGAAAUUCACAAAAUCGUUGAUUAGAUAUGGACCAACAUAUGAUGCAAAUGCACUUAUUACUGCAAAUAUGGCAUUUACUGCUGCUUUCUUCCAUGCUAAAUAGAAUAUUGCCUUGUAGACAGAUGGGUUACUGGUGGUUCCUUCUUCCUCCUUGACUCGUUUUAGGUUUUCAUCGAAGCAAUAAGAGAGAAAAGCAGCAGAGUCUUCCACAUCAACAUCUGGGAUCUCAUCCUGCUCAAGUGGCUUCUUUUUCCCGAUAACAAACAAUGGGUUGAGCCAUGAGAAGGUAACAAGGUCAAGAAAGGUUGCUUUGCUGUAAAGUGAUUCGCUUUUCCCCCUUGAAAAUUUCUCACUUUCUCCAUUCAGAAGUGGUUCAGUCAAGUUCUUUGUUGCACCGUCUUGCACUAUUCUCAUCUUUCCUUGAAUGGAAAUUAACAACAGGCUGACUGAUGCAAAAAGGCCGAGGACAUCUGCAUAGUCUUGUAUUCUAAAGUUACCAUGGUUUGCCAUUAUGAAAUGAGAAUCAAUGGCAAUGUGACAAGCUAAGAUCAAGAAGCUGCAAACCCACCAGAAUCUUAGAAUUCCGGGGAAAAUGAGCAAGAUUAAAGAAGUUGAAUGCACACCCAAGAGCAAAAUGGAAAGAAUAACGCUGGCUUUCGAGCAUAGGCUUAGUCUUGCAUUUUCAAGGGUAUAAAACAUACAUGCUACAUGUCUCAUGAAUCAUGAUUAUGUGCAACCCCCUUGUCAGUUGUCACUAUCAAGUAUAGUUUUCUUUGUCCGGGAUGGAAAUGGUUAUGUGCAACCACUUCCUACUACGAGCAGUGCAGCUUCGAGACCUAAAGAUAGCUUGAUUCAAGUCAAGAAUGAGGGAACUUCCAACUUCAAACAAUGUAGGAUGUUUAUGCUAAAAUCAAAACAAGCUACUUUUAACCUUAUUUUGUAUAGAUGAUCCCAUUCAUUUUUCUGUUUUUACCUUGUUAAAUUAAUCAGCACAUUAAACUUUAAA